UGUAAGCACAUGCUUUAACAUAGUAAAGCCGCGAAUGGCUCGGUAUAACAGCCGCCGUUUAUUAAAAGUCAUCUACUUGGAUAACUGUGGCAAUUCUAGAGCUAAUACAUGCACGAAAGCUCGGACCUUAUGGGAAGAGCGCAUUUAUUAGACCAAAACUAAUCAAACUUCGGUUUGUGUUUUGGUGACUCUGAAUAACUAAGUUGAUCGCACAGUCUUAGUACUGGCGACGUAUUUUUCAAAUGUCUGCCUUAUCAACUUUCGAUGGUAGGUUAUACGCCUACCAUGGUUAUAACGGGUAACGGAGAAUAAGGGUUCGACUCCGGAGAGGGAGCCUGAGAAAUGGCUACCACAUCCAAGGAAGGCAGCAGGCGCGCAAAUUACCCAAUCCCAGAACGGGGAGGUAGUGACGAAAGAUAACGAGGUAGUCCACUCUGUGGCCUGCCAUCGGAAUGGGUACAAUUUAAAUCUU
rnacentral:rRNA from 1 species